GUUGAGGGGAAUUGUGUCUGGUUCGAGACCAUUUACCUUAAGUAAAUUGAAUUGAUUUAAGAAUGAUCUCGGACCAGGCUUCAUUCCCCCUAAC
rnacentral:pre_miRNA from 1 species